CUUGGUCAUUUAGAGGAAGUAAAAGUCGUAACAAGGUCUCCGUUGGUGAACCAGCGGAGGGAUCAUUACCGAGUUAUACAACUCAUCAACCCUGUGGACAUACCUAUAACGUUGCCUCGGCGGGAACAGACGGCCCCGUAACACGGGCCGCCCCCGCCAGAGGACCCCCUAACUCUGUUUCUAUAAUGUUUCUUCUGAGUAAACAAGCAAAUAAAUUAAGACUUUCAACAACGGAUCUCUUGGCUCUGGCAUCGAUGAAGAACGCAGCGAAAUGCGAUAAGUAAUGUGAAUUGCAGAAUUCAGUGAAUCAUCGAAUCUUUGAACGCACAUUGCGCCCGCCAGUAUUCUGGCGGGCAUGCCCGUUCGAGCGUCAUUACAACCCUCAGGCCCCCGGGCCUGGCGUUGGGGAUCGGCGGAAGCCCCCUGCGGGCACAACGCCGUCCCCCAAAUACAGUGGCGGUCCCGCCGCAGCUUCCAUUGCGUAGUAGCUAACACCUCGCAACUGGAGAGCGGCGCGGCCACGCCGUAAAACACCCAACUUCUGAAUGUUGACCUCGAAUCAGGUAGGAAUACCCGCUGAACUUAAGCAUAUCAAUAAGCGGAGGA
rnacentral:rRNA from 1 species